CCCUUUUUCCAAACAACAUGUCCGAGACAAAAAAAAAAAUUUCAAGACAAACCAUGUACUACUCCACGAUAUUAACUGAAACUCAUUACAUUAUUCAGUCGUCUAAUUAUACAUACACGACUCCUGAAACCAUGAAACAGCAUACACUUCAACAUAGCAGCACAAAUUCAAAUCCCACAUUCCCAUGGCCAUGGCGACAAAACAUACUCCCACUAGUCUGCCACCUUUAUUAAAUAUAGGUAAAAAAAACUCAAAACAUCGCAUAACAUUACGUGCAUUUAUUUUGGCAUUAUUCGGCUGGCUCAGCACUGAAACGUGUACAUACAUACAUAUAUAUAUAUAUAUAUAUAUAAGUGAUGUUCAUCUGAUCAAGCAGAUUGUUCGGGUGGAUCAAGAACUUUCAUGUCUGUUUCUUCAUCAAAUGGGAAUGGCUUGAUGGGUUCAGAUGCUUCCAAAAGCUCCUCAAUCGGUAUCUUUGGUUUUGACCGUGCCAAAGGGACGACCUUGCUAUACAGAUUC
rnacentral:lncRNA from 1 species